AUUGAACGCUGGCGGCAUGCCUUACACAUGCAAGUCGAACGGCAGCACGGGAGCAAUCCUGGUGGCGAGCGGCGCACGGGUGAGUAACACGCGGGUAACCUGCCUCGAAGACUGGGACAACCCCGGGAAACUGGGGCUAAUACCGGAUACCCUCCCCGGGUCGCAUGGCCUGGGGAGAAAAUGAAUUUCGCUUCGAGAGGGGCCCGCGGCCUAUCAGCUAGUUGGUGGGGUGACGGCCUACCAAGGCUUUGACGGGUAGCCGGCCUGAGAGGGCGAACGGCCACAUCGGGACUGAGACACGGCCCGGACUCCUACGGGGGGCAGCAGUAGGGAAUCUUGCACAAUGGGCGCAAGCCUGAUGCAGCGAUGCCGCGUGAGGGAUGAAGGCCUUCGGGUUGUAAACCUCUUUCAGUAGGGAAGAAGCCACGGGUAACCGUGGUGACGGUACCUGCAGAAGAAGCCCCGGCUAGCUUCGUGCCAGCCGCCGCCGUAAUAC
rnacentral:rRNA from 1 species